rnacentral:rRNA from 1 species
UACGUAGGGUGCAAGCGUUGUCCGGAAUUAUUGGGCGUAAAGAGCUCGUAGGCGGUUUGUUGCGUCGGCUGUGAAAUCCCGAGGCUCAACCUCGGGUCUGCAGUCGAUACGAGCAAUCUAGAGUGUUGCAGGGGAGACUGGAAUUCCUGGUGUAGCGGUGAAAUGCGCAGAUAUCAGGAGGAACACCGGUGGCGAAGGCGGGUCUCUGGGCAGAAACUGACGCUGAGGAGCGAAAGCGUGGGGAGCGAACAGG